AACGAACGCUGGCGGCAUGCCUAACACAUGCAAGUCGAACGAGACCUUCGGGUCUAGUGGCGCACGGGUGCGUAACGCGUGGGAAUCUGCCCUUGGGUUCGGAAUAACAGUUAGAAAUGACUGCUAAUACCGGAUAAUGUCUUCGGACCAAAGAUUUAUCGCCCAGGGAUGAGCCCGCGUAGGAUUAGCUAGUUGGUGAGGUAAAGGCUCACCAAGGCGACGAUCCUUAGCUGGUCUGAGAGGAUGAUCAGCCACACUGGGACUGAGACACGGCCCAGACUCCUACGGGAGGCAGCAGUGGGGAAUAUUGCGCAAUGGGCGAAAGCCUGAUCCAGCAAUACCGCGUGUGUGAAGAAGGCCUCGGGUU
rnacentral:rRNA from 1 species